CGGGUUUCCGGGAGGUUUCCAGGC
rnacentral:rRNA from 1 species